rnacentral:rRNA from 1 species
UAGGGAAUCUUCCGCAAUGGACGAAAGUCUGACGGAGCAACGCCGCGUGAGUGAAGAAGGAUUUCGGUUCGUAAAACUCUGUUGUUAGGGAAGAAAAAAUGUAUAGUAACUAUAUACAAAAGAGACGGUACCUAACCAGAAAGCCACGGCUAACUACGUGCCAGCAGCCGCGGUAAUACGUAGGUGGCAAGCGUUGUCCGGAAUUAUUGGGCGUAAAGCGCGCGCAGGUGGUUUAGAAAGUCUGAUGUGAAAGCCCACGGCUCAACCGUGGGGGGUCAUUGGAAACUAAUAAACUUGAGUGCAGGGGAGAAAAGUGGAAUUCCUAGUGUAGCGGUGAAAUGCGUAGAGAUUAGGAGGAACACCGGUGGCGAAAGCGGCUUUUUGGCCUGCAACUGACACUGAGGCGCGAAAGCGUGGGGAGCAAACAGG